AUUGAACGCUGGCGGCAGGCCUCACACAUGCAAGUCGCGCGCGCGGCGGACGGGUGAGUAAUGUCUGGGACACUGCCUGAUGUAGGGGGAUAACUACUGGAAACGGUAGCUCAUACCGCAUACCCUCAGAUGUGCCACGAGGGGAUUAGCUAGUAGGUGGGGUAACGGCUCACCUAGGCGACGAUCCCUAGCUGGUCUGAGAGGAUGACCAGCCACACGGGAACUGAGACACGGUCCAGACUCCUACGGGAGGCAGCAGUGGGGAAUAUUGCACAAUGGGCGCAAGCCUGAUGCAGCCAGGCCGCGUGUGUGAAGAAGGCCUUCGGGUUGUAAAGCACUUUCAGCGGGGAGGCGUUACCCGCAGAAGAAGCACCGGCUAACUCCGUGCCAGCAGCCGCGGUAAUAC
rnacentral:rRNA from 1 species